GUCAUGAGGAUUACAACAUUGCCUUUUCUCCUUGUAAUCAAAAACUGGAGUUCUCAGGAGAUUUUUCAGUCUCAUGGAGCUUGGGCUUUUUGAAAACUGUCAGGCACAAGAAGAUUCAUGCAAUGUUAUGAGAAUUGGCAACUUGGAGGUUCUGCAACCACUGCUCCCUCACAGCUGAGAAAACAUCCACCAAGUCUUCUUGAAGAAGACCGAAAUACCCAAGCACACCUGCAAGAACACCCAGCUGGUUCAGAUUCUCAAACAAGGUGUUAUUAUUCUGAAAGUUUUCAGAAGAAUGUCAGCUAUCUUCAGUCAGAUGUGGCCACAUCUUGUCAUUGAAGGAGGUGUCCUUGUUGCUUAAGGCAGAGGGAUGAUCUCAUCUCUUUCCUUCUCCUGUGUUUUGCUGUUUUACAGUUUGUCAAAAUCCAGGUCUAUUCUGUCUUAA
rnacentral:lncRNA from 1 species